rnacentral:rRNA from 1 species
UGGCGGCAGCUAAUACAUGCAAGUCGAGCGGAUUGAUGGGAGCUUGCUCCCAUCAGUCAGCGGCGGACGGGUGAGUAACACGUGGGUAACCUGCCUGUAAGACUGGGAUAACUCCGGGAAACCGGGGCUAAUACCGGAUAACUCAUUUCCUCGCAUGAGGAAAUGUUGAAAGGUGGCUUUUAGCUAUCACUUACAGAUGGACCCGCGGCGCAUUAGCUAGUUGGUGAGGUAACGGCUCACCAAGGCGACGAUGCGUAGCCGACCUGAGAGGGUGAUCGGCCACACUGGGACUGAGACACGGCCCAGACUCCUACGGGAGGCAGCAGUAGGGAAUCUUCCGCAAUGGACGAAAGUCUGACGGAGCAACGCCGCGUGAGUGAUGAAGGUUUUCGGAUCGUAAAACUCUGUUGUUAGGGAAGAACAAGUACCGUUCGAAUAGGGCGGUACCUUGACGGUACCUAACCAGAAAGCCACGGCUAACUACGUGCCAGCAGCCGCGGUAAUACGUAGGUGGCAAGCGUUGUCCGGAAUUAUUGGGCGUAAAGCGCGCGCAGGUGGUUCCUUAAGUCUGAUGUGAAAGCCCACGGCUCAACCGUGGAGGGUCAUUGGAAACUGGGGGACUUGAGUGCAGAAGAGGAAAGU